CAGGGCCAGCCCCCAUGGCUGGCAGGAGCUGUUCCAGGGCUCUGUGAUGCAACACUUCCCAGGGCAGCUGCGGUAGCUUGGGGCAAAGGGGUGGGACUGCCAACAGAUCCAGCUAUCAAAGACAGAGGAGGGACGAGGCAUGUGGUUUGGGAACAAACAGGAGCUGUAAUUCAUGUUUGUUUUACUGCUGAACAGUCUUCAAUGUUCCAGUCAUGACUCCAGCCCUUCACUUUGCUAGAACAAAGUCUACAGCUGGACAGAGAGCUCAGGAUUUUCUGCAAGUGUGCACAAAACUACACCAUCAACUACUUUCAACAGGCCUGGGCACCUGCAACCUCAAAAAAAAAGUGGUGUUGAGCACGGGAUGUGCAGAGGAAAAGGUGCUCAGGGGGCAGCACCCGACAGAACAGGAGACUGAGGUGACCACGGAAGAGCUGCAUUUACCAGCAAUGCCCCAGCUCCAAGCAGUAGGGAUAGAAAAGAAAUAAAGGCCCUAAAUAUGGCA